rnacentral:rRNA from 1 species
AUGGCGAACCCGUCCAACUCGCCCCGGCACGGCGGCUCCGGGACGCACCACGGCCGCCACAAGACGGCCAGGCGCGGGGGCGCCGGCGGCAGCGGCGGCGGUGGAGACCACUCCCCGCGGGAUCACCAGGAGAGGGGCGCCGGCGGCUGGGACCAUGGCGGUGGCGGAGGCGGGAGGGGUGGCCAGAGAAGCCACCACAACAACGGUGGCAGGAGGGGCGGUGGCAACGGUGGCCCGGGCGGCCCAGGAGGUGGUGGAGUUCCUCACCAUGGCGGGUUCGGCGGACGCCGGAGAGGCGGGUUUGAUGGUGGCUUCUUCCGUGGCCCAGGGAUGGGCAUGGGGCCGUACAUGCGGGGCGCACCGCCGCCGCCCCCGCCGCUGGCCGUCGCUCCUCCCUUCAUGGGCCACCCUCCUCCCGGCUCGCAUAUGCGAGCCUUUGCUGGACCGAUGAUGGCGUUUCAUGAUAUGCCAUCGCCCGUGUCUCCUGUUUCCCCAAUGUACUAUGUUGGGCCUCCGCCGCUUCCAGAGGCUCUUAGGGGAAUGGCAUUCGCACCUCAUAUGGUCGGCCCACCUGCUUAUCCCUACUUUCAGCCCCCAGCUGAGCCUGAGCCUGAGCCUGAGCCUGAGCUUGAGCCUGAGCCCGUGGCUGAGCCAGAUUCCGAGGCUCGCCAGAAGCUGCAGAACCAGUUUGAGUUCUACUUCAGCAAGGACAACUUAUGUGGAGAUGUUUACUUGCGGCAACAUAUGGAUGAGGAGGGCUUUGUAUCGGUCCCUUUUAUGUCAACAACUUUCAAUAAGGUCCGGGAAAUCACUGCCGAUAUUCCUAACGCCAAUUUGCAGUAUAUAAUAGAAACAAUUCAGUCCUCAUCUAUACUGGAAGUGAAGGGUGACAAAGUUAGGAGGAAAGAUGACUGGGACAAAUGGUUGAUUCCGAAAGAGAGCAACCCUAAUAUUCCGUCAAGCUCUGCAGCAGCUGUGCCAGGCCCCAGCACCAAUGUCAAUGAUCUGACAGCACAGCUUGGAGGUGUGGGCCUGCAAGAAGCAGCUGGCCCUAGUAGCACGGUGGGCCAGAACCAUCAUGAGGUAGUCCAGAAUGGUGGAUCGGCUUCCAGCAAUAACCCAGCACCGGCAGCUGAAGAAAGCGCUGGCCAGCGCUAG